GGCGGUCAGCGUUGAACAGCUAAAAAAGCGAGCAGAGCGAUUUGGCGGGAACGUUUCUUCAGUUUCCAAGAAGGUUGAGGAAGAUGAAAAGCUGAAGAAGCGGAAAGAAAGAUUUGGGAUCCUCGCUGCGGUUACACCUGACGUUGAGGCAAAGAAACGGAAGCGUUCUGAACGAUUUGGAAAUGUGACUGUGUAAAUUGUGGUAUUUACAGAUGUUUUAUGUUUUUAUUUUAUUUUGUUGCAAAC